UACGGGGGGAGCAAGCGUUGUUCGGAUUUACUGGGCGUAAAGGGCGCGUAGGCGGCCACCGCAAGUCGACUGUGAAAUCUCCGGGCUUAACCCGGAACGGUCAGCCGAUACUGCGGGGCUAGAGUGCAGAAGGGGCAACUGGAAUUCUCGGUGUAGCGGUGAAAUGCGUAGAUAUCGAGAGGAACACCUGCGGCGAAGGCGGGUUGCUGGGCUGACACUGACGCUGAGGAGCGAAAGCGUGGGUAGCAAACAGG
rnacentral:rRNA from 1 species